CGAACGGGUGAGUAACGCGUAGGAACCCGCCUCGACGUGGGGGAUAACACUUGGAAACAGGUGCUAAUACCGCAUGUGGUCGAGAGAAGAAAGACUUGAGGAAUCAAGUCGCAUUGAGAGGGGCCUGCGUCCGAUUAGCUAGUUGGUGGGGUAAAGGCUUACCAAGGCGACGAUCGGUAGCUGGUCUGAGAGGAUGGUCAGCCACACUGGGACUGAGACACGGCCCAG
rnacentral:rRNA from 1 species